rnacentral:rRNA from 1 species
CUUGACCUCAAAUCGGGUGAGACUACCCGCUGAACWUAAGCAUAUCAAUAAGCGGAG